UUUUGAAAAGUCAGAUUUGCA
ensembl:piRNA 21ur-11310 ncRNA